UACGGAGGGUGCGAGCGUUAAUCGGAAUUACUGGGCGUAAAGCGCGCGUAGGCGGUUUGCUAAGUCGGAUGUGAAAUCCCCGGGCUCAACCUGGGAACUGCAUCCGAUACUGGCCGACUCGAGUGCGAGAGAGGGAGGUAGAAUUCCACGUGUAGCGGUGAAAUGCGUAGAUAUCAGGAGGAACACCAAUUGCGAAGGCAGCUCGCUGGGACGUGACUGACGCUGAGACGCGAAAGCGUGGGGAGCAAACAGG
rnacentral:rRNA from 1 species